GCUAAGGUUGGCUAAAAUUCAUGAAGUGCCAUGGUGUUCUGCUGGGUUUGGUUGUCCAUGUCAACGUGCAAUUUGAAGAUCAGAUCGCCACUCCCCGUGGAACAAACAUCUAUAGGCAGCAAAAAGAUUGUCAGUGUGUUGUACCAGGUCGGCGAGUACGCCGACAAGAACCCCAAUUCCGCCGACUGUGUCGAGGGAGCCCUUAGCCUACGUGGCUGGCUGUAAACCAAGGGACAUCACAUACUGUAAUGAACGACAAGGAGGAGCUGAGGAGUGGUCAGUACCCAAGAUCACACCCAAUUCAUCUCAUGUUUUUAAUUUUCUCUAAUCCAUUUCCUAACGUUUCUGCAAAGCAAUUUAUAUACUCCUACUGAAUUAAGUGUGAUGUUGUACGAUUUGUGGACCUGUAUAGGAUCCUGGCCGUGUAAUUAUCUCAGUUACUGUGUAUUGUCUAAUUCUCUGAGUAAUAUUCAUAUUUGGGUUAAAAAUUUGAAUAAAAGUAUUCUAGCUAAAUUAGAUUAACGAUAGCUUGAUGAGGGCAUCUGUAAUACAAUACAUAUGUUAUUUUGAGAAACUAGCUUAGUGGCCCUCGCAAAUGCGAGGGCAUCAUCUUUAAUAAGUCAAAAUGACUUUAAAUAAAUUUAUGGAUCAUGUCAUGGGAUCUAGAAUAAUACAAAUCCCAGAUCAUUGUAAAUCUACACAAUAAUUUUCACGUUGUAAAUCUAUGUGAUCUAGAAUUUGUUGUGGUCUACAACCGAAGUCGAUUAUGUGCUUUAUUAUUGCUCAUGAAUAAAAAAAUGGCUCUAGAGAGAUUAAUUCUUGGAACAAAUGAUAUCAAUAUAUAUGUUGCUGGGAGCGAGUGACUAAUCGGUGGAAUGUCUAGCUCAUGGAGCUAUCAUCCGAGGAUGCAGGUGGCCACGGAAAAUCAUUGUUUCAGAUUAUCCGUUGUUUCUGUAGUCCAUGCCGCCAAAUGAGGUCUGUUUUGGAGCAUCUCAAUUUUUUUUAUCAUUUCUCUUUGAUUGUUUCGGUGGAUUACACUGAUGGAAUGUUCACUGAGUAACUCCCAUGACCAGCUGAUCGUUUUACUUGUGGCUGUUGAAGGAUUACUUCUCUCUAUUUCUGUUGUUAUAUAACCUUGCUAUUUAAUCUCAUCCACUCUGUUUAGUUGAUGCAAACGUCCGUGCAAAUAGCAAGGGUCUAAUCACGUGGGAUUUUUUCCAGUACCUGACGCACCUCAGUUGCCUAGAAAUGUGGAAGUGGGGACAUGUACAAUCAAGAGCUCUCUCACUUGUAAAAAUUAAAUGAUGCUAGACAAACCCAUGUUCAUUUCAGGAGCAUUUCAUGUGGGUCGCUGCUUAUGCUGAAGUACGUUUCCGCUGUCGUUGGGUCACCGCUGCUGCUGGAGUACAGGUUGACGGCCUCCAUCUUGGCAUAAGGUUUAAGCCAUGGUUGUUGUUGAGAUUCCAUCCAGGGUCUUGAUCAUGGCAGCUUCCAGAUUCAUUGUACAACACUAUACCCACGAAGUAUGAAGUGACGGCGACCUUCCUCUAUUGGUAUGUCAUAUACAUCAAUCUAUUGGAGAAGCCUGGCUAUCCAUCGAGCAAACAUUGUAUAGGCUAUUGAUUAUUGUAUACAAUCAACACCCUGUAGUAAGACAUGUUAGACCAUUUACAUAGUGUUUCACCCAUCAGAUAAUUUUUUAUUUAAUGUUUGAUUACCGGGUC